AUGUUUAUUAUAUCGCAGGAAAUCAAUACCAAAUGGAGUCCAAACGCAGUGAAACUUUUUGUGGAUUUUUUUGGGCUAAAAGGCAUCCAGUGGGCCAGGAACGCACCUCAGGGGUGCUCCGAGGGGAGCACAACCCACCAGAGCGUGCCUGGGGCCCCAGGCGUUCCCCGGUGGGUUGUGCCCUCCUUGUUGGCCUCCCGCACCGCGUCUUUGCUCUAUAAAUACCCCAGUAUUCCAGAAACCCUAGGAGAGUUGACGAAAAUCAUAUCUAGCUCCCGCAGAGUCCAGAACCACCUGAUCCAAUCUAGACACCAUCAUGGAGGGGUUCACCACUUCCAUUGGUGCCUCUUCGAUGAUGCGUGA
rnacentral:rRNA from 1 species